GGCUCCUUUCCCCUUUCCCUCUGUCUUUUCUAGAGGCUGACUGGACCUCUUUGCUAACAGCACAGAAUUUCACUGCCUGAGUCCAAGGGAUGUAGAGCUCCCUUUCAGAGGACAAAAGUCUUUCAUAUUCUUCACCAUUCACUGAUCUUGCUAUAUAGUCCACAGCUGUGUAUUCUUUCUCCUUUUGAAGCUCAGGAAGACAUUUUCCUUUACCUAGCCCUGGCCUACCUUUCCCUUCCCAAGAUCACUGGCAGUGCCUCAGCUGGAACAUUUGCCAGUUCUUCCAACACUCAAGGAUGGGCUCAGGAGAAAAGGAAAGCCAAACAAGAACUGGGCAGUGUGGCCAGAGCCACAGGAGCCUCGGAGACAGAGGGAUUGAGAGGGUCCCAGAGAGGGAAGGUGACGUGAUGGCAGGAGCAAAGCCAGGGUUGGAGCCCAGCACCCUCGCUCUCCUUUCCCGUCAGAGUAAGAUCUUCCAGAGGCAGCCGAGUCUCUCCGAAUGACCUGCUGUAUGGCGUCUCAUUACGGCGCGGCGAGUGACCUAUGGGACAUAGCCCUCGAGCUGGUGUGAAGCAUUAAGUCUUGCUGGGGACAUACACCACAAUGAGUCAGCCUCCCAAGGCGACGCAGCCACAAAAGCUUGGGCAGUUAGGGCAGCGGAGACAGGGAGCCGGCUGCAGGUGCAGCACCGCGUAGACAGUAUUUCCUCCCAGCCUCCCAUCGCUGCUGCAGCAGCAGCCCCACGAGGGAGCCAGCAGGGCAAGUCCGUGAUACCGAGUAGGGGAUCAGGAAGGAGACAGAACGCUCUGGGAAGCGGAUGUGGCGUUGAGAGAGUCAUGGUGCCCAUAUCUUGCAAGGGACCCACCAACCCAUGUGAGGCCAGUGGGAAGCAGCAUGAUGGGAUCACCAGAGGCCAUCACUGCACCCGUGGUUUCCGAGGCCACCAAGGGACGAUGGAAAUGGCACUGGAUCUGAAGUCUGAGGACCUGGGUUCCAGCCUGGACAUUGCUACUUAGAUGCUUACUGCCUUGUGACCUUGGGCAUGUCAUUUUCUCUCACAUCCUCAGCUUCCUCAUCCACAAAAUGAGGAGAGUAGAUUCACUUUCCUCCCAGAUCUCUCCUGGCUCCACAUCUCAGGUCUUUGGUCUCUGACCCCUGCUCUGGCCUCGAAGUUCCUUCACAUUUUUAGGUGUCACCUACACACCAUCCACCACAUGUAAAGCCCCUUGUCCCCUCUAGGGCUCUUCCUCCAUGGGCCCCCUGGCAGUCCUCAGAACAGAUGUGCCUGUGAGCACAAGGAAUGCCCCAUCUCAGUGGCUCAUGUCCCUGACAUUCCAUCAGUAAAGGAGCAUGACAGAGUCCUGAGCAUUCACUGGUCUGGCAAGCUAUUCACACACAUUGGGGACCUGGCCUUUUAUCCUCCUUGAGACCUGGGGGGAUGCCGGCUGUUCUCUGGUCAGUCCCUGAGAAGGUCUCAGAUUAACAAGAGCUAGCAUUCAUGGAGCCCAGUAAGGUCAGCAAAGCACCUGCCCCAUAGUGCAACAACUUGUGAGGCAGGAGCGAUUAGGACAGGUGUGUGUGGUUAGGGAGAGAAAGCAGAGGAGAUGGAGCUGAAUGGAGGCGAUGCUCUCAGAAGCGUGGCAACGCUGGGAAGGUGAAAGAGGACAAGAUUUGAGGAGGACAGGGAAGCUAUGGGAUGGAUCCUUUAGGUUAAAGGAUCGAAGGUCAAUGCAGAGGGAACAGAAGGAAAAGCUGAAUCACCUGGGGAGAU